rnacentral:lncRNA from 1 species
AAGCACUGGGGAUUCUGAGGAACCUCUGAGGAGCACCCUGCCUUUACUUGCAGUUCUUCCAGAGAGAUGUUGGAGCUGACAACUGGAGACAAUAUGGCUUGGUGACAACAUCAUAAAAGGAUUGAUGAUAAUAUUGAAGAGGAAGGAGCUAGGAGUGAGUUGCUAAGUGACAGAAAAAGAGCAAGUGGAAGUUUCUUAGAAGUAGAGAAGGAAACAAGAAAGCAGAAAGUGAGAAGGUAGGAGAAUUGAAGCAAAGCAUUGCUAGAGAAGGAUGGUUCAGAGAGAACUGUCUAAUUAUAGUAUGUUUAUAUUGAUGACAAUUUAAGCAUUUGAAGCACAGCCUUAUGACAUUUUAUUUGGAUAAGUUGGGCUGGUACGCACCAUGGGAAAGCACGGAAUCUAAAGAAGUUGGAAUGG